rnacentral:rRNA from 1 species
UACGAAGGGGGGCUAGCGUUGUUCGGAAUUACUGGGCGUAAAGCGUGCGCAGGCGGUCUCUCAAGUCAGGGGUGAAAGCCCAGAGCUCAACUCUGGAAUUGCCUUUGAAACUGUGAGGCUCGAGUACGGGAGAGGUGAGUGGAAUUCCCAGUGUAGAGGUGAAAUUCGUAGAUAUUGGGAAGAACACCCGUGGCGAAGGCGGCUCUCUGGAACGCAACUGACGCUGAGACGCGAAAGCGUGGGGAGCAAACAGG